UUUGAAAAGCCAGGGGAUGACUUGUGCAUAGGGGUGAAAGGCUAAUCAAACUCGGUGAUAGCUGGUUCUCCUCGAAAGCUAUUUAGGUAGCGCCUCGGACGAAUACCAUUGGGGGUAGAGCACUGUUUCGGCUAGGGGGUCAUCCCGACUUACCAAACCGAUGCAAACUCCGAAUACCAAUGAGUACUAUCCGGGAGACAGACUGCGGGUGCUAACGUCCGUAGUCAAGAGGAAAACAAUCCAGACCGCCAGCUAAGGCCCCAAAAUUAUAGUUAAGUGGGAAACGAUGUGGGAAGGCUCAGACAGCUAGGAGGUUGGCUUAGAAGCAGCCA
rnacentral:rRNA from 1 species